AUUGAACGCUGGCGGCAUGCCUUACACAUGCAAGUCGAACGGCAGCGCGGGAGCAAUCCUGGCGGCGAGUGGCGAACGGGUGAGUAAUAUAUCGGAACGUGCCCAUUAGUGGGGGAUAGCCCGGCGAAAGCCGGAUUAAUACCGCAUACGACCUGAGGGUGAAAGCGGGGGAUCGCAAGACCUCGCGCUAUUGGAGCGGCCGUUAUCAGAUUAGCUAGUUGGUGGGGUAAAGGCCUACCAAGGCAACGAUCUGUAGUUGGUCUGAGAGGACGACCAGCCACACUGGGAGUGAGACACGGACCAGACUCCUACGGGAGGCAGCAGUGGGGAAUUUUGGACGAUGGGCGCAAGCCUGAUCCAGCAAUGCCGCGUGCAGGAAGAAGGCCUUCGGGUUGUAAACUGCUUUUGUCAGGGAAGAAAUCCUUUGGGCUAAUACCUCGGAGGGAUGACGGUACCUGAAGAAUAAGCACCGGCUAACUACGUGCCAGCCGCCGCCGUAA
rnacentral:rRNA from 1 species